AAAGUCGUAACAAGGUUUCCGUAGGUGAACCUGCGGAAGGAUCAUUACAGUUGAAAUGGUACGGGGUUUAAUGAGCUGCCUUCAGGGCAAAAGUGCUCGCUCCGACUAUAUCCACAUACAACACCCUGUGCACAUUCUUAAUGAACGGUGGGAGACGUCCCACUUGUUUAUUAUUAUUUAUUAUAAAUGCCUGUCUGUAUAUAUGCAUGUUAAUAGACCUCCCCUUAGUUGGGAGAAAACUAUAACAACUUUCAACAACGGAUCUCUUGGCUUUU
rnacentral:misc_RNA from 1 species